GUUGAGAUUUGUCACAAUGGAGUUUUUUCUGUAGACUUACAUUGCUGGAAACACCUCAGAGUACAUAUUGUGUUUCCUUUACUCACAGAACUGUGUGUUAGAUCCUUGGGAAGGAAUUACAAGACAGUU